CGGACGGGUGAGUAAUGUCUGGGAAACUGCCUGAUGGAGGGGGAUAACUACUGGAAACGGUAGCUAAUACCGCAUAACGUCGCAAGACCAAAGAGGGGGACCUUCGGGCCUCUUGCCAUCAGAUGUGCCCAGAUGGGAUUAGCUAGUAGGUGGGGUAACGGCUCACCUAGGCGACGAUCCCUAGCUGGUCUGAGAAGAUGACCAGCCACACUGGAACUGAGACACGGUCCAG
rnacentral:rRNA from 1 species